AGAGUUUGAUCCUGGCUCAGGAUGAACGCUGGCGGCGUGCCUAAUACAUGCAAGUCGGACGCAAUGCUUCGGCAUUGAGUGGCGAACGGGUGAGUAAUACAUAAGCAACCUGCCCCUGUGAGGGGGAUAACUGCUGGAAACGGCAGCUAAGACCGCAUAGGCAUACAUGACGCAUGUCGAGUAUGUUAAAUAUCCUACGGGAUAGCACAGGGAUGGGCUUAUGACGCAUUAGCUAGCUGGUGAGGUAGAGGCUCACCAGGGCGACGAUGCGUAGCCGGCCUGAGAGGGUGGACGGCCACACUGGGACUGAGACACGGCCCAGACUCCUACGGGAGGCAGCAGUAGGGAAUUUUCGGCAAUGGGCGAAAGCCUGACCGAGCAACGCCGCGUGAAGGAAGAAGUCAUUCGUGAUGUAAACUUCUGUUAUAAAGGAAGAACGGCGCCUGUAGGGAAUGACAGGCGAGUGACGGUACUUUAUGAGGAAGCCACGGCUAACUACGUGCCAGCAGCCGCGGUAAUACGUAGGUGGCGAGCGUUAUCCGGAAUCAUUGGGCGUAAAGAGGGAGCAGGCGGCAGUGCAGGUCUGCGGUGAAAGCCCGAAGCUAAACUUCGGUAAGCCGUGGAAACCGCACAGCUAGAGAGCAUCAGAGGAUCGCGGAAUUCCAUGUGUAGCGGUGAAAUGCGUAGAUAUAUGGAGGAACACCAGUGGCGAAGGCGGCGGUCUGGGGUGCAGCUGACGCUCAGUCCCGAAAGCGUGGGGAGCAAAUAGGAUUAGAUACCCUAGUAGUCCACGCCGUAAACGAUGAGUGCUAAGUGUUGGGGGUCAGACCUCAGUGCUGCAGUUAACGCAAUAAGCACUCCGCCUGAGUAGUACGUUCGCAAGAAUGAAACUCAAAGGAAUUGACGGGGGCCCGCACAAGCGGUGGAGCAUGUGGUUUAAUUCGAAGCAACGCGAAGAACCUUA
rnacentral:rRNA from 1 species